AUUGAACGCUGGCGGCAGGCCUAACACAUGCAAGUCGAGCGGAUGAGAGGAGCUUGCUUCUUGAUUCAGCGGCGGACGGGUGAGUAAUGCCUAGGAAUCUGCCUGGUAGUGGGGGACAACGUUUCGAAAGGAACGCUAAUACCGCAUACGUCCUACGGGAGAAAGCAGGGGACCUUCGGGCCUUGCGCUAUCAGAUGAGCCUAGGUCGGAUUAGCUAGUUGGUGAGGUAAUGGCUCACCAAGGCGACGAUCCGUAACUGGUCUGAGAGGAUGAUCAUUCACACUGGAACUGAGACACGGUACAGACUCCUACGGGAGGCAGCAGUGGGGAAUAUUGGACAAUGGGCGAAAGUCUGAUCCAGCCAUGCCGCGUGUGUGAAGAAGGUCUUCGGAUUGUAAAGCACUUUAAGUUGGGAGGAAGGGUUGUACGUUAAUACCGUGCAAUUUUGACGUUACCGACAGAAUAAGCACCGGCUAACUCUGUGCCAGCCGCCGCGGUAAGAC
rnacentral:rRNA from 1 species